rnacentral:tRNA from 8 species
CGGGGUGUAGCGCAGCUUGGUAGCGCAUCCGCUUUGGGAGCGGAAGGCCGCAGGUUCAAAUCCUGUCACCCCGACC